rnacentral:rRNA from 1 species
ACGACUCUCGGCAACGGAUAUCUCGGCUCACGCAUCGAUGAAGAACGUAGCAAAAUGCGAUACUUGGUGUGAAUUGCAGAAUCCCGUGAACCAUCGAGUUUUUGAACGCAAGUUGCGCCCGAAGCCAUUCGGCCGAGGGCACGUCUGCCUGGGCGUCACAC